rnacentral:rRNA from 1 species
AUUGAACGCUGGCGGCAGGCUUAACACAUGCAAGUCGAGCGGAGAGAGGUAGCUUGCUACUGAUCUUAGCGGCGGACGGGUGAGUAAUGCUUAGGAAUCUGCCUAUUAGUGGGGGACAACAUUUCGAAAGGAAUGCUAAUACCGCAUACGUCCUACGGGAGAAAGCAGGGGAUCUUCGGACCUUGCGCUAAUAGAUGAGCCUAAGUCGGAUUAGCUAGUUGGUGGGGUAAAGGCCUACCAAGGCGACGAUCUGUAGCGGGUCUGAGAGGAUGAUCCGCCACACUGGGACUGAGACACGGCCCAGACUCCUACGGGAGGCAGCAGUGGGGAAUAUUGGACAAUGGCGCAAGCCUGAUCCAGCCAUGCCGCGUGUGUGAAGAAGGCCUUAUGGUUGUAAAGCACUUUAAGCGAGGAGGAGGCUACUUUAGAUAAUACCUAGAGAUAGUGGACGUUACUCGCAGAAUAAGCACCGGCUAACUCUGUGCCAGCCGCCGCCGCAGUAA